AAAUUAUUGUAAAAAGGAGGUAAAUAAAUUGAGUCUGCAAUUCUUGACGAAGCAACUGGAAUAUGUUAAUCCUCCAUUUCUUUUACUUUAUAUUUCAUUUGAGGGUUAUCACCUUUUCUUUAGUAGUUGGUCAGAUACUUUGCAUGUAUUAAUGUUUUGACUCUGCUGGCUUUGGAGAAUCUAAUGGUAGUGCCAUUUGUUUGUGUUAACUGAGUUGAUUAAAAUUUCAUUGAAUCGUUUCUUUGUUUCCUAC
rnacentral:lncRNA from 1 species